AGUCGUAUGGUCUAAUGGUUAUGACGUUUCGUUCACACUGAUGAUGCACCGAAAAGGUUCCGUGUUCGAUCCACGGUACGACUA